UGAGGCCUAGGCUGUCGGUGCAUGAUUUUGUUUGUUUGUUUACUCUGUAAACAAACAAAUAAACAAAUGGUGCGGUGGCUCGGGGAUAGCGGAUGAUGACGGAUGGUGAGCGGGUCGUAAGCUGAGCCAGAGGACUGUAAACAAACGGCAGAUUGCAAGAUGGGGGACGUGCUACAUGGGAAUGGGAUGUUUUUAAAUCCCUGCGCUCAGAGUGUGAACCCAAAUCCCUGCACCGCGUCAGAAAGAAUUGCGCAGAAAUCCAGACACUCUCUCGGGUUAACAAAGUGCCACACGUUGCCUCAGGAUGACAAGAUUUCUCCCAGAUUCAGUCAGUGCCAACCACUGUACUCAAGUCUCACUUGAGAGCACCACCAGUCUGGAAUGCCUUCCAAUUCUGGAAUGCCUUCCACGGAUCUGUGGGAAUCCUGCCAGCCAGUCUCCUCCAGCUCCUGGCCAAUGGCUCCCGGCUCGGAGAAGAAUCUUCCAGAGGUCUGUGUGGGCUGCGAUCGGGUGGCCAAGCAGACCGCCUGGUCCCGCGCUUCUACUGAGGACCCAGCGGGGAAGGAUGUCCAUUCAUCUUCCUACUUCACAUUCAAUUUUCAUCAGUGUCAGAUGGAAACGAGCCGAUUGCUUUCCCAGCAUCCACUGUGAGAGGUGCGAUGUUCAGCCGACUCCACACGACGGACGCGGCCUAAUUACGGCGGAUUGAGUGAUAGAUGCGCGCCGAGCCACCAGACCAGGAACGCAGGGCGUUAACAGCAUAUCCGUGGGACAUGUGCCGUGUCUGGGACAUGGACCCUGGGUUGAUGGGGCCUCUAACGUCACGUAUUGGAGGUCUUAUGGACCCGAUGGUCCGUGGAAGAUGGCCUCCUCAUUCACGGACGUUUUCACCAUGUCCUGAAGUGUCUUGACAAGGUCAUUAAGCUCUUAUCACCUUCGUGUUGGUUCAUAUCUUUGAUUGCUCUGUUGUCGGUGGGGUGGUAAUUUUCAAGAUGUGCAGGAGGAGGUCUUGGGAGAGCCGUGCAUGUGGAUGAGGAAAUGACAGAAUUAUCGCCCUGAAGCUACAGGCACGGGUUAAAGGGGGGUGUUGUGGGAAUCGUAAACACAGGGAUGCCAUUUGUCCAGCGUUUCAGUGCUACUCUGGUCACUUGCUACUAAUGAGUCUUGCACUGUGUGUUGUUUUUUUUUUGUUGUUGUUUUUUUUGCUAUUUUUUAACCGUCUAAGGGAGAAGGGUAUUCCCUCCCCAAGUAUGGGUUCUUGUGCUCCCGUGCAAGAGUUUCGGUGUCUUCUCGGUUGGUAAUUCCUCUCUUUGAUGUCUA